CACUAGGAUGAACACCAGGUGUAGAUGAUUUUUCCCUUUAUUACUUCAUGUAUCCUGUCCUCUGAGCCGUAAAGGAGGUCUGAUCUACGUUGGUGGCAGUGGACAAAAUCAUCUACUCAGAUGGAUAAAAUCAUAGAUUCUUGAAGUGCUGAAGAAACUGUUGCAGUAAUAGCAAGAUGGAUGAAAAACAGAGGACAUCAUGACCUUAUGCAACUCCUGAUAUCAACCCUCUUGAGUUAAUAUUACGCUCUAUUCUGGUGUUCCAUUUGAUGCUGGAUAUCACCUAGACACACCUGACUCCUUGGUGUGAUCAAACUUUUCUUAUUCUACAUUCCAUUUGCUGGGUACUGUUUUUUAAUGAGAGAUGUGAGGUCAGCAAGGCAGGGGAAGGCAAGACAGAUAAACACAGAGGAAUGCGCAAGAUCGUCUCGGCAACGCCUCACCAAUGAGGUUGCCAAAGUACUGCCGCAGGAU